rnacentral:rRNA from 1 species
GUAGGUGGCGAGCGUUGUCCGGAAUUAUUGGGCGUAAAGCGCGCGCAGGCGGUUCUUUAAGUCUGAUGUGAAAGCCCACGGCUCAACCGUGGAGGGUCAUUGGAAACUGGAGAACUUGAGUACAGAAGAGGAAAGCGGAAUUCCACGUGUAGCGGUGAAAUGCGUAGAGAUGUGGAGGAACACCAGUGGCGAAGGCGGCUUUCUGGUCUGUAACUGACGCUGAGGCGCGAAAGCGUGGGGAGCAAACAGGGAUUAGAUACCCUGGUAGUCCACGCCGUAAACGAUGAGUGCUAAGUGUUAGGGGGUUUCCGCCCCCCUUAGUGCUGCAGCUAACGCAUUAAGCACUCCGCCUGGGAGUACGGCCGCAAGGCUG